rnacentral:rRNA from 1 species
AGUUUAAGUUCAUACGUUGUAAUCGUGAGACUGCGGAAGGCUCAGUAUAUCAGUUAUAAUCUGUUUGAUUGUUCAACCCAAUGGAUAACCGUGGGAAAUCUAGAGCUAAUACAUGCAAUAAAAUGGAUAGUAUGUGUACGUUUUGUAUGUGUGUGUGCAUGGCAACAUGAAUACAUGUAUAUGAUUCUGUAUGCGCGUAUUAUUCAGGCAUUUAUUAGGACAUAAUCAACUACAGUUUUAUAAUAUUGUCAAUUGGUAGCAUGUUUGGUGGCAACAUUGGAUGUGUGUGCUGGUUGAUGUGUAUUACUGUGAGGUGAAUCUAGAUAACUUGGCAGAUCGUAUGGCCUUGAGCCGGCGACAUUUCAAUUGAAUUUCUGCCCUAUCAACUUGUAGGUAAGGUAGUGGCUUACCUAGGUUGUAACGGGUAACGGGGAAUCAGGGUUCGAUUCCGGAGAGGGAGCCUGAGAAAUGGCUACCACAUCCAAGGAAGGCAGCAGGCGCGCAAAUUACCCAAUCCAGAUAAUGGGAGGUGGUUACGAGAAAUACCAGAUGGUUUCCCUUUGGGAUGCCAUACUGGAAUGGACGUAAUUUAAGCAAUUCGAUGAGUAACAACUGGAGGGCAAGUCUGGUGCCAGCAGCCGCGGUAAUUCCAGCUCCAGUAGCCUGUUUUAAAGUUGCUGCGUUUAAAACGCUCGUAGUUGGAUGAAUAAGUAUGAGGCAGUAAAUUGGCACAUGUCAUGCUUGCACAUAACAUCUAAUGCAUGUGCGCUAUCAUAUGUAAAAUUUCUUACUUUUGUCAUAUGUUGCCUCUGUGAGGGGUGUAUGCAAAGCGUACAUCCAACAUAUGCAUGAUGCAAAUGCUUAGAAUGUAUGAUAUGCGUGGUAUGUAUUGGAGUGCAGUGAAAGUGUCAAUGUUUAACAGCUGCAUCUCAUACUAAUUGUACAUGAGGAUGGUGUUUGUUGACCUUGAGUGUGUUGAUCACUAUGUCUCAUGAGGUGUGCCUUGAAAAAAUCAGAGUGCUCAAAGCAGGCAUGUUUGCUUGAAUGUUAAUAGCAUGGAACGAACAAUUGUGACAAGUAUAUCACACAUGACAUGUAUGUAUUCAAAAAUGCUACAUGUGUAUAAUGUAUGCAACAUGUCGAUUAUAUAUGGUUGCAUAUAUGUGUGUGUAAACAGCAUUUACAUUAAAAUGAUGAUGUUGAUUAAUAUGCUACUUGUUGGUGAUUAUAAUACAUAUCAUGUAUAACUUGUAUGUGUGUAAAUCUUUAGUGUAUUGGCACAUGUAUGUAUGUGUAUGUGAUACACAUGUGUUAUAAUCAUCAAGCCAGCAGGAAGUGUGUUAUAUCGGUAUCACAGAGUAUUUGUAUGCACAUGCACGAUAAGUAUAUGUGAACAUGAUGUGUGGCAGGCGUGUAUACACCGCAAGAAAAGUGUAGCGAUACAUGUUUAAAGUGUGUGUGUGUGAUUAUACAGCACCAACCACCAAUGACGGAUGUUGGUUUCCGUGUUGGGGUGAUGAUUAAAAGGAGCGGUUGGGGGCAUUGGUAUUUGGCCGCGAGAGGUGAAAUUCUUGGACCGGCCAAGGACUAACAAAUGCGAAGGCAUCUGUCAAGACCGUUUCCAUUAAUCAAGAACGAUAGUGAGAGGUUCGAAGACGAUCAGAUACCGUCCUAGUUCUCACUGUAAACUAUGCCAACCCGGGAUCAGUUUGGAGCUUUUUUAUCACGCUCGUGGUUGGUCCCCCUGGGAAACCUGAAGUGUUUAGGUUACGGGGGGAGUAUGGUUGCAAGGCUGAAACUUAAAGGAAUUGACGGAAGGGCACCACCAGGGGUGGAGCCUGCGGCUUAAUUUGACUCAACACGGGAAAACUCACCUGGUCCGGACAUCGAGAGGAUAAACAGACUGAAUUUGAUCUUUUUUGAUACGAUGGAUGGUGGUGCAUGGCCGUUCUUAGUUCGUGAAGUGAUUUGUCAGGUUGAUUCCGGUAACGGACGAGACCAUAAUCUUCAUUUAGUGUGCAAGAGAAAAUCAUUAACACAUGUGUGCUGAUGUGUGUGUGUGCAUGUGUGUCAAAGCAUAUGUGUGUGCAUGUGUUGGUAUAUGUGGUAUAAAAUGUGAAUGAUUGUUAGUGAUUGUUGGCAUUGCAUGUUGCAAAUAUGGUCAUUUUGUUUGCAUGAUUGUUGAGGGCGUAUGCCUGAGAUGGUUGUGUGAGCGUGGCUGUGUGGAGGUGUGCAUAUUCCCUCUUGUAAUACAUUGGGUGAUGUUACAGUUGCUCGGUGUGCUAUGAAGAGACAACCAAGUAUAAUUUAGAAGUUGGGGGAAGCGUUUGGCGAUAACAGGUCUGUGAUGCCCUUAGAUGUUCAGGGCCGCACGCGCGCUACAAUGAUAGCAACAGCAAGCGCCUGGGUUGAAAGACUUGGGAGAUCAGUAAUUGCUAUCGUGAUGGGGAUUGAUCGUUGUAAUUAUCGGUCAUGAAAGAGGAAUCCCUAGUAGGUGUACCUCAUUAGGGUACGUCGAUUAAGUCCCUGCCCUUUGUACACACCGCCCGUCGCUACUACCGAGUGAAUCGUGUCGUGAUACUUUGUGACCGGACGUGAUGCGAACGGUUAACGCUGUUUGUGUAUACGCUGGGAUCAAUGUAAAAUGGCGCAAUUUCGAGGAAGUAAAAGUCGUAACAAGGUUUCCGUAG